GAUGAACGCUGGCGGCGUGCUUAACACAUGCAAGUCGAACGGAAAGGCCCUGCUUUCGUGGGGUUCUCGAGUGGCGAACGGGUGAGUAACACGUGAGUAACCUGCUCUUCACUUUCGGAUAACUUCAGGAAACUGGGCUUACUCUCGUAUAGCAUCUCCCGUUCGAUGGUGGGGGUGGGAAAGUCUCGGCUGUCGUGGAUGGAUGCGCGGCUUAUCAGCUUGUUGGUUGGGGAGUGGCUGACCAAGGAAUUGACGGAUAGGCGGCCUGGGAGGGUGAACGGGCACCUGGGGACUGAGAUACGGAGCAGAGUCGUACAGGAGACAGCAGUGGGAAGUCUUGCACAGUGAGCGGAAGUCUGAUGCAGCGGCGCUGCGUGCGGGAUGACGGCCUUCGGGGUGUGAACAGCUUUCGCCUGUGACGCAGCGUGAGUGACGGUACUGGAUGAAGAAGCACCGGCUAACUACGUG
rnacentral:rRNA from 1 species